CGGUGCCUCAGAACAAACCAAGGUGAUGAGAUCCAAAGUGAACGGUGGAAGAAAUGUCCAUUAGCAGUUGCAGGUGUGGCAAAAGUGCCCUCCCAACCUUGCCGACUCCAGCCCCCAAGCAGAGAAACGCCGUCCUUGUCAACAUCUUCAAAGCACUGGUUUGCACACCCCUCCUAGAAAGGCAGGCUAUGGCAGGGCACCGGCGGAAGAGGCUGAGCCAGUGGAUCUGAGAGUAAGGGUGGAGAUGAUGGAGCACAAGGAGGGCAAGAAAAGCUCUAGGGGAAAUGAAUACCCGUUGAUGGAAGCUCCAAAC
rnacentral:lncRNA from 1 species